rnacentral:rRNA from 1 species
GACGAACGCUGGCGGCGUGCUUAACACAUGCAAGUCGAACGGAAAGGCCCUGCUUUUGUGUGGUGCUCGAGUGGCGAACGGGUGAGUAACACGUGAGUAACCUGCCCUUGACUUUGGGAUAACUUCAGGAAACUGGGGCUAAUACCGGAUAGGAGCUCCUGCUGCAUGGUGGGGGUUGGAAAGUUUCGGCGGUUGGGGAUGGACUCGCGGCUUAUCAGCUUGUUGGUGGGGUAGUGGCUUACCAAGGGUUUGACGGGUAGCCGGCCUGAGAGGGUGACCGGCCACAUUGGGACUGAGAUACGGCCCAGACUCCUACGGGAGGCAGCAGUGGGGAAUAUGGCACAAUGGGCGGAAGCCUGAUGCAGCAACGCCGCGUGCGGGAUGACGGCCUUCGGGUUGUAAACCGCUUUCGCCUGUGACGAAGCGUGAGUGACGGUAAUGGGUAAAGAAGCACCGGCUAACUACGUG